AUUGAACGCUGGCGGCAUGCCUUACACAUGCAAGUCGAACGGCAGCACGGGGCAGCCUGGUGGCGAGUGGCGAACGGGUGAGUAAUGCAUCGGAACGUACCUUUCAGUGGGGGAUAACGUAGCGAAAGUUACGCUAAUACCGCAUAUUCUGUGAGCAGGAAAGCAGGGGAUCGCAAGACCUUGCGCUGAUUGAGCGGCCGAUGUCAGAUUAGCUAGUUGGAGAGGUAAAGGCUCACCAAGGCGACGAUCUGUAGCGGGUCUGAGAGGAUGAUCCGCCACACUGGAAAUGAGACACGGUCCAGGCUCCUACGGGAGGCAGCAGUGGGGAAUUUUGGACAAUGGGGGCAACCCUGAUCCAGCCAUGCCGCGUGAGUGAAGAAGGCCUUCGGGUUGUAAAGCUCUUUCGGCCGGGAAGAAAUCGCACGGGCUAAUACCCUGUGUGGAUGACGGUACCGGAAUAAGAAGCACCGGCUAACUACGUGCCAGCAGCCGCGGUAACAC
rnacentral:rRNA from 1 species